UAAGACGAACCGUGCGAACGUUGUUCGGAAUCACUGGGCUUAAAGGGCGCGUAGGCGGGCGAGCAAGUCCGGGGUGAAAUCUUUCGGCUUAACCGGAAAAGUGCCUUGGAUACUGCUUGUCUUGAGGGAGGUAGGGGCCUGUGGAACUUCUGGUGGAGCGGUGAAAUGCGUUGAUAUCAGAAGGAACGCCGGUGGCGAAAGCGACAGGCUGGCCCUCUUCUGACGCUGAGGCGCGAAAGCUAGGGGAGCAAACGGGAUUAGAUACCCCGGUAGUCCUAGCCCUAAACGAUGGGUACUAGGUAGUGGGCCAGACAUGGGCUCACUGCCGAAGCAAAAGUGUUAAGUACCCCGCCUGGGGAGUAUGGUCGCAAGGCUG
rnacentral:rRNA from 1 species